GCCAUUCGCUCGGGGCGCGUCCGCAGACGGACGCUGAGAUGAACCCGUGGAACCUGAUCCGGUUCGAACCGGCGGAGGGAAGCGAUGCGUGGGCACG
rnacentral:ncRNA from 1 species